rnacentral:rRNA from 1 species
AUUUUUUCCUGUAGCAAUACAGGUAAACGUCUAGCGGCGAACGGGUGCUUAACACGUGGGCAAUCUGCCGAGAAGUGGGGGAUAGCUCGCCGAAAGGCGAAUUAAUACCGCAUGUGAUCAGAGUGGACAUCCAUUCAAAAUCAAAGUCGGGGCAACCUGACGCUUCUUGAGGAGCCCGCGGCCUAUCAGCUAGUUGGUGAGGUAACGGCCCACCAAGGCUUUGACGGGUAGCUGGUCUGAGAGGACGACCAGCCACACUGGGACUGAGACACGGCCCAGACACCUACGGGUGGCAGCAGUCGAGAAUUUUUCUCAAUGGGGGAAACCCUGAAGGAGCGACGCCGCGUGGAGGAUGAAGGUCUUCGGGUUGUAAACUCCUGUCAUUUGGGAACAAUGCGCAAAUAUUAACUGUAUUUGCGUUGAUAGUACCAGAAGAGGAAGGGACGGCUAACUCUGUGCCAGCAGCCGCGGUAAUACAGAGGUCUCAAGCGUUGUUCGGAUUCAUUGGGCGUAAAGGGUGCGUAGGCGGCGCGGUAAGUCGGGUGUGAAAUCUCGGGGCUUAACUCCGAAACUGCAUUCGAUACUGCCGUGCUUGAGGACUGGAGAGGAGACUGGAAUUUACGGUGUAGCGGUGAAAUGCGUAGAUAUCGUAAGGAAGACCAGUGGCGAAGGCGGGUCUCUGGACAGUUCCUGACGCUGAGGCACGAAGGCCAGGGGAGCAAACGGGAUUAGAUACCCCGGUAGUCCUGGCAGUAAACGGUGCACG